rnacentral:tRNA from 1 species
GCUGGGAUAGCUCAGUUGGUUAGAGCGUGUGGCUGUUAACCUCAAGGUCGGAGGUUCGACCCCUCCUCCUAGCG